rnacentral:rRNA from 1 species
UACAGAGGUCUCGAGCGUUGUUCGGAUUCAUUGGGCGUAAAGGGUGUGUAGGUGGCGCGCUAAGUCGGGUGUGAAAUUUCGGAGCUUAACUCCGAAACUGCAUUCGAUACUGCCGUGCUUGAGGACUGGAGAGGAGACUGGAAUUUACGGUGUAGCGGUGAAAUGCGUAGAUAUCGUAAGGAAGACCAGUGGCGAAGGCGGGUCUCUGGACAGUUCCUGACGCUGAGGCACGAAGGCCAGGGGAGCAAACGGG